AGCAGCCGCGGUAAUUCCAGCUCCAAUAGCGUAUAUUAAAGUUGUUGCAGUUAAAAAGCUCGUAGUUGAAUUUCGGGGUCUGUCCAUUGGUCGGGCUUCACGGUCCGUACUGGUGAGAUGGGUUCCUACCUUCUGAAUAACCGGCAUGCCAUUCAGUUGGUGCGCUGGGGAAGCAGAGCUAUUACCUUGAAAAAAUUAGAGUGCUUAAAGCAGGCUAUUGCUUGAAUAGAUUAGCAUGGAAUAAUAAAAUAGGACGGCAUGGUUCUAUUUGUUGGUUCUAGGAUCACCGUAAUGAUUAAUAGGGAUAGUUGGGGGCAUUAGUAUUCAAUUGUCAGAGGUGAAAUUCUUGGAUUUAUUGAAGACUAACUUCUGCGAAAGCAUUUGCCAAGGAUGUUUUCAUUAAUCAAGAACGAAAGUUAGGGGAUCGAAGACGAUCAGAUACCGUCGUAGUCUUAACCAUAAACUAUGCCGACUAGGGAUCGGACGAUGUUAAUUUUUUAAUGACUCGUUCGGCGUACCG
rnacentral:rRNA from 1 species